rnacentral:rRNA from 1 species
UUGGAGGGCAAGUCUGGUGCCAGCAGCCGCGGUAAUUCCAGCUCCAAUAGCGUAUAUUAAAGUUGUUGCAGUUAAAAAGCUCGUAGUUGAACCUCGGGGUUUACCCAUUGGUCAGGCUUAAUUGUCUGUACUGGUGAGAUGAAUCUCUACCUUCUGAGGAACUUUCAUGCCAUUUAUUUGGUGUGAUGGGGAAUCAGGACUGUUACUUUGAAAAAAUAGAGUGUUUAAAGCAGGCUAACGUCUGAAUACAUUAGCAUGGAAUAAUGAAAUAGGACGGACUGAUUCUAUUUCGUUGGUUUCUAGGAUCACCGUAAUGAUUAAUAGGGAUAGUUGGGGGCAUUAGUAUUCAAUUGUCAGAGGUGAAAUUCUUGGAUUUAUUGAAGACUAACUACUGCGAAAGCAUUUGCCUAGGAUGUUUUCAUUAAUCAAGAACGAAAGUUAGGGGAUCGAAGACGAUCAGAUACCGUCGUAGUCUUAACCAUAAACUAUGCCGACUAGGGAUCGGAUGAUGUUAAUUUUUUAAUGACUCAUUCGGCGCCUUACGGGAAACCAAAGUGUUUGGGUUC